rnacentral:lncRNA from 1 species
AUCCCAGCACACCUCCAGAUAAGUGCACAGACCAAUUAUCCUUUCACUAGGUCUACUUCUGUGACAAACACACUCAUGAGAUGAACUGUGUCUCCACAAUGAGCUGUCAUCCAAUCUACUUCUAAUCCCUUCUACUCUUGCUCAUCUUCAACAAUGCUGACAACCAGGUGUUCUGCAGGGCACCAACCACAUUAAAACUCCCAUUCAUUGUGUGCUGCCUCUCAGCUUGCGCUACAUGGCAGCAAAGGGCUGCACACUCAGAUGGCAGCUGCAACAAAGCCAGUCUUGAUUGGCUUAAUUACAUUAAUCAAGGCAUCAGGCUUUUAUACCUCCUCCCAGCAGCCCCAGGGGCCCAGAGGGAUAUCACCUGACACAGCAGAACGAGUCUGAUCUCUACAGCCCAGCAACAGAAGAAAACUGAAGUAUGAGGAGUUGAACGCUGCUGUUUCUCACCUUUGUGCUGCUGAUACAGGCUUACCGCCAGCCCGGUGAAAGACUCAGCCUCCCGAGAAGGUUUUCUCAGCUCUUCCCUUUAGAGGGCGAUCCUGCCGCACACAUCUUCAGCGUGCGAACUUCUGGGAGCUGCAGUGCGAGGUGAAGCCGCCCGGAGGUCAGCAGAAGAUGGUGGCUCUCCUGGAGCUCUGCAAACCUACGGACAUGAAGGGAGCUACAGUCUGGUCUGGGCAGUUCUGGUUGAAUGUCUUCUGCUUCCUCAGGCAGUUGCCAAGCUGCUCCCAGAGGUUGUGAGUACAACUCCAACUGCCCCCAAAUUCUUGGAGAGCUGCCCACAAAAGACAGAGAUUCAUGUGCUUUUCUUCCCGAAUUAACCACCAGCAUGUGUGUCACUGCUUUGCUGUUGACCCCACGCCUUUGCUGUUGCAUAAAGGAUGCCAAGUUCUCAGACAAAUGAAGGCUCCGUUUGGCAGCGGAUAGAAAACAGGAAUAUUUGUCUUUAUUCUGAAACUGAAUUUUUGUGGCUAAGCUGCACCAAAAAUACAUCUUCCCCCCCACCUCUCCCAGACACGAGACACCACUGAAUGCCGAAAGCAACUCUUCCCUGCCACAAAUGGACCAAAUAAACCCAGCA